rnacentral:lncRNA from 1 species
UUCAUCAGCAGAGGGACGCUGAAGGCUGUUCUGGAUCAUUGGACAGACAGAAGCCUGAAAGACAGAGAAGGAUGUCCAUGUUGGAGAACUUGCUGGGUGUUUGCUCCCACUGUCCCCUUAAGCCUCUGCUUUAGACUAUUCCCUCGCAUCAGUCAGCCGGUGAUGGAUGGCUUAAUUAAGGUGAAAGACAAUGAGGGGAUCUAUGGCAUAAAUCAGGUUAACAAUCUUUGGUUUGUAAAAAAUCUGAGAUUAAAAGUCAAAUUAAAAUUCUAAGUCUGAUUUGAUCAACAUGUAUACACAACUUCUAUCAGAAUUGGCACUAAGCAUGAAUUCCUCUAUAGCUUAAAUUAUUUCUGUACUGCAUGCUUUUAUGUUUGUGUCCUGAAUUUACUGGAAUUUAACCAGCUAACAAAAUCAUUUUUCAUUUUCAAUCAUUUUUCAAUCAUUUUCAGUAAACAUCUCAUGCUGUAUGGCUUGUAUUCCAGCUUUCUUGUUUUCUUCUUUCCUUUGACAACACGCUUUUUGUGUCUUAAAGCAAGGUAGAAUAGCCCUAUACACACCAUAUACUGUCAUGAUAUCACUAGACUUGGCAGACCCAAAUGGUGGAACCCGGAAGAAAAACCAGGAGAACGUUAGGUAAGUAGGAUGAUUUAAUUUACAGUCUGUAAGUUCAGUGGCAAACUUGAAGGCAGAGUUCAGAUGGUACAUGGUAAGAUGCGGAUCAGGAGUCUUGGCUAGGAGGCAAGGCGUGGCUGGAGGGUUUGGCAGUGGCCGAUCUGGAGGGCUUGACUUGAACUGGAUCUGAGGCGAAGACGAGGAGCAUGGAAUAAUCACAGUAACCAGGUGGGUAUCUUUUCCUGUAGGUGAGGCAUAAGGAGAAAAUUAGCGAGAGGAAACAAAGCAUGAUCAAGAUGCAUGAGGCGACCAGACUAUGCACCGUACAGUAAAAACGAACUGGCGAUGAAUACUGGAACUGGAUCUCCUUAAGAGGGCGGCAGGCUGAUGAGGUGAGUGGUCAUUGCUGGUCUCUUCAGGAACAGAGCAGAGACGGGAGGGGGAGGAGAGCUNNNNNNNNNNCCCAGAGACACCAUGACAUUUACUAUGUAUUUACAGUUUUUCUGUUUAAGACAUGUCUCUUUAAUCUGGUAAAUUUACCUUUUAAAUGAAUAGAUAAUUUUUCGCUUUUUGCCAUUUUUAAAGCUUUUCAUUGGAAGUGGUAG